GAUGAACGCUAGCGGCAGGCUUAAUACAUGCAAGUCGUGGGGCAGCAGGGGUAGCAAUACUCGCUGGCGACCGGCAAACGGGUGCGCAAUACGUACGCAACCUUCCUUUAAGCGGGGAAUAGCCCAGAGAAAUUUGGAUUAAUACCCCAUAGUAUAUUGAAGAGGCAUCUUUUUAAUAUUAAAGCUCCGGCACUUAAAGAUGGGCGUACGGCUGAUUAGGUAGUUGGCGGGGUAACGGCCCACCAAGCCUACGAUCAGUAGCUGAUGUGAGAGCAUGAUCAGCCACACGGGCACUGAGACACGGGCCCGACUCCUACGGGAGGCAGCAGUAAGGAAUAUUGGUCAAUGGACGCAAGUCUGAACCAGCCAUGCCGCGUGAAGGAUGAAGGUCCUCUGGAUUGUAAACUUCUUUUAUCUGGGACGAAACACUCCUUUUCUAAGGGGCCUGACGGUACCAGAGGAAUAAGCACCGGCUAACUCCGUG
rnacentral:rRNA from 1 species